rnacentral:rRNA from 1 species
GAAUUCACUAGUGAUUCAGGCCUAACACAUGCAAGUCGAGCGGUAGAGAGAAGCUUGCUUCUCUUGAGAGAGGCGGACGGGUGAGUAAUGCCUAGGAAUCUGCCUGGUAGUGGGGGAUAACGUCCGGAAACGGACGCUAAUACCGCAUACGUCCUACGGGAGAAAGCAGGGGACCUUCGGGCCUUGCGCUAUCAGAUGAGCCUAGGUCGGAUUAGCUAGUUGGUGGGGUAAUGGCUCACCAAGGCGACGAUCCGUAACUGGUCUGAGAGGAUGAUCAGUCACACUGGAACUGAGACACGGUCCAGACUCCUACGGGAGGCAGCAGUGGGGAAUAUUGGACAAUGGGCGA